rnacentral:rRNA from 1 species
AUUGAACGCUGGCGGAUUGCUUUACACAUGCAAGUCGAACGGCAGCACGGACUUCGGUCUGGUGGCGAGUGGCGAACGGGUGAGUAAUGUAUCGGAACGUGCCCAGUCGUGGGGGAUAACGUAGUGAAAAUUACGCUAAUACCGCAUACGAUCUAUGGAUGAAAGCGGGGGAUCGCAAGACCUCGCGCGAUUGGAGCGGCCGAUAUCAGAUUAGGUAGUUGGUGGGGUAAAGGCCCACCAAGCCAACGAUCUGUAGCUGGUCUGAGAGGACGACCAGCCACACUGGAACUGGGACGCGGUCCAGACUCCUACGGGAGGCAGCAGUGGGGAAUUUUGGACAAUGGGCGAAAGCCUGAUCCAGCCAUUCCGCGUGCAGGAUGAAGGCCCUCGGGUUGUAAACUGCUUUUGUACGGAACGAAAAGGUUUCUACUAAUACUAGGAGCUCAUGACGGUACUGUAAGAAUAAGCACCGGCUAACUACGUGCCAGCAGCCGCCGUAA